AGGGUUUGAUUAUGGCUCAGGACGAACGCUGGCGGCGUGCCUAACACAUGCAAGUCGAACGGAGAUUCAGGAGCUUGCUCCUGAAUCUUAGUGGCGGACGGGUGAGUAACGCGUGAGUAACCUGCCUUUCAGAGGGGGAUAACGUUCUGAAAAGAACGCUAAUACCGCAUGAGACUACAGAGCUGCAUGGCUCAGUGGUCAAAGGAGCAAUCCGCUGAAAGAUGGACUCGCGUCCGAUUAGAUAGUAGGCGGGGUAACGGCCCACCUAGUCGACGAUCGGUAGCCGGACUGAGAGGUUGAACGGCCACAUUGGGACUGAGACACGGCCCAG
rnacentral:rRNA from 1 species